GACGAACGCUGGCGGCGUGCUUAACACAUGCAAGUCGAACGGAAAGGCCCUUCGGGGUACUCGAGUGGCGAACGGGUGAGUAACACGUGGGCGAUCUGCCCUGCACUUUGGGAUAAGCCUGGGAAACUGGGUCUAAUACCGAAUAGGACCACGCGCUUCAUGGUGUGUGGUGGAAAGCUUUUGCGGUGUGGGAUGGGCCCGCGGCCUAUCAGCUUGUUGGUGGGGUAAUGGCCUACCAAGGCGACGACGGGUAGCCGGCCUGAGAGGGUGACCGGCCACACUGGGACUGAGAUACGGCCCAGACUCCUACGGGAGGCAGCAGUGGGGAAUAUUGCACAAUGGGCGCAAGCCUGAUGCAGCGACGCCGCGUGAGGGAUGACGGCCUUCGGGUUGUAAACCUCUUUCAAUAGGGACGAAGCGCAAGUGACGGUACCUAUAGAAGAAGCACCGGCCAACUACGUG
rnacentral:rRNA from 1 species